rnacentral:rRNA from 1 species
AGAAUCAACGCUGGCGGCGUGCCUAACACAUGCAAGUCGCACGAGAAAGGGGAGCAAUCCCUGAGUACAGUGGCGCACGGGUGAGUAACACGUGAAUUAUCUACCUCCGAGUGGGGAAUAACUGAGAGAAAUCUUAGCUAAUACCGCAUAACACUUACGAGUCAAAGCAGCAAUGCGCUUGGAGAGGAGUUCGCGGCCGAUUAGUUAGUUGGCGGGGUAAUGGCCCACCAAGACGAUGAUCGGUAUCCGGCCUGAGAGGGCGCACGGACACACUGGAACUGAAACACGGUCCAGACUCCUACGGGAGGCAGCAGUGGGGAAUUUUGCGCAAUGGGGGAAACCCUGACGCAGCAACGCCGCGUGGAGGAUGAAGCCCCUUGGGGUGUAAACUCCUUUCGAUCGGGAAGAUAAUGACGGUACCGAUAUAAGAAGCCCGGCUAACUUCGCGCCAGCAGCCGC